AUUGAACGCUGGCGGCAGGCUAACACAUGCAAGUCGAGCGGAAACGAGUUAUCUGAACCUUCGGGGAACGAUAACGGCGUCGAGCGGCGGACGGGUGAGUAAUGCCUAGGAAAUUGCCCUGAUGUGGGGGAUAACCAUUGGAAACGAUGGCUAAUACCGCAUGAUGCCUACGGGCCAAAGAGGGGGACCUUCGGGCCUCUCGCGUCAGGAUAUGCCUAGGUGGGAUUAGCUAGUUGGUGAGGUAAGGGCUCACCAAGGCGACGAUCCCUAGCUGGUCUGAGAGGAUGAUCAGCCACACUGGAACUGAGACACGGUCCAGACUCCUACGGGAGGCAGCAGUGGGGAAUAUUGCACAAUGGGCGCAAGCCUGAUGCAGCCAUGCCGCGUGUAUGAAGAAGGCCUUCGGGUUGUAAAGUACUUUCAGUCGUGAGGAAGGCGGCGUCGUUAAUAGCGGCGUUGUUUGACGUUAGCGACAGAAGAAGCACCGGCUAACUCCGUGCCAGCAGCCGCGGUAAUACGGAGGGUGCGAGCGUUAAUCGGAAUUACUGGGCGUAAAGCGCAUGCAGGUGGUUUGUUAAGUCAGAUGUGAAAGCCCGGGGCUCAACCUCGGAAUAGCAUUUGAAACUGGCAGACUAGAGUACUGUAGAGGGGGGUAGAAUUUCAGGUGUAGCGGUGAAAUGCGUAGAGAUCUGAAGGAAUACCGGUGGCGAAGGCGGCCCCCUGGACAGAUACUGACACUCAGAUGCGAAAGCGUGGGGAGCAAACAGG
rnacentral:rRNA from 1 species